UUGAAAACACAGCACCCUGUGGGCUACUCUGAAGAAAAUUGACUCCAUGCCAGCAAGACCAAGUACGCAAAGUAUUUCCAUAUGCAAGUGGAGGGGUCAAAUUCUUGGUCUAGUUUACAGCAAGAUGUGAAAACAUAUCUGUACUGGAUCUGCCAAACUGAAGAGGUGACGGUGGCUGGACUACAGGCAGAAGCUGUGAAACUGGUUGUGUCUGCAUGUUGGUGGGAAGUGAGGAGGAAGUGCAUGUAACCACAGUUGAGUAGCUGCUGACAGCAGCACCACAGUAGCUCUUUCUCCAGACCCAGACGCAUGAGCCCAGUACUCAGACAGGUUUGUUCAGGCUGCGCUGUAAAGUGUAGCUGUAAAGGCAUAGCAAAGCACGAUGGAGAUACAAAGCUGCAUAUUACACGUGGAUUAGAGUCGAUGCAGAUCACGUGGCUGUGUUCAUCUACCCAGAAACCUCCUGAGAUGUGCAAAGGUGAAUCUGGGCUUCAAGGUACUUCACAUGUUAGAGACAUCACUGAGCAUGUGUGGCAAAAGUAAGGCAUGCCCAUAUGAAGUGCCAGGAGAACUCUACAGAAAAAGCAUCAAGUGGGAAUCUGGCCAGGACUUCAGGCAAACAUCCAGCCUUUUGAGCACCCUCCAGUGCACCCUGAUAUGGCUAUGAACACUGGUGUGUUUAGAACUGUGCUAAGGGUCGAAAAAAGGGAUUGCAACUUGAUAAGCAGCGAUGUGCAGCAGCUAUCUCCUAUGACAGGAAAAGACCUUUUGGAGACGUACCCGAAGGAAGAAGGUAAAAGCAGUGCCCAUGCACACAGAUGCGCUUGGGAAGACUGUUUAUUAACAUGUUACUUUAUAGCACCACAGAAAUGAGAUGCAGCAGUGUCCUGGGGUGACCAAUUACUGCUUGGUAUUAGUGAGUCAGGCGUUCCACUUAAUGAGCAUUGAGUGUUCCACUUCUUGUUCUCACUCCUUUACUUUGUUAUGUUUAUUCAUGCUAGUUGUAUAGCAUCCACCCAGUUCGUCCACCCACACUUUCCUAUCAUUACUGUGCCCUGUUCUGCCCUUGUUUGUUACACCCAGUACUUCAAUCACGCUCUAAUUACAAUAACCUCCUCUGGGUAGAGGCUCCAUCGCCUUGGAAGUUUGUAUAGCACUCUCCAAAAUGGGCCACGGAAUCUUCUCAGUGUUCCUGGGAACAUCUCUAACACCUCUCCUAGUGGGACAAAUACAAACCACUGUGAACUAGGUAUGUCCAGAGGCACAAACUAAUUCAGUCUGAUCCUUGUGCUUUUAUAUUUUAAAAAAGUACUGGGUUUGUUUCUUCUAACUCUACUUGAUCCACUGUUUGCUGUUCUUUAUAACAGCCCUCUUUAGGCACUUAUCAGGAAAAUUUGUACAUCAGUGUCCCCAUCUGUAGCAGACUUAAGUGACUUUUCCUUUUUUUUUUUUUUUUUCCCAGUAGCUGACUGAAAAACAUUUAAAAAAUGUUCUGCCCAUAAUGGAAAUGCAUAAUGCUGUACAACGUGAUCCAUCUUAGGCUAAGGGUUAAUCUGGUAACCCGUGGCAAGUGAUUCCACAAAGAAGUCCUUCAGCCAUAAAUGUCUUAUUUCCAGUGGCCACGUGCUUCAGCCUGCACUAUGUCAAACACACAGACUGCCACAGUGUGCAGUGGGAAAGGGGAGUUCUCUACCAGAGGCUUUAGAUAGCAGCCUGCCUCCUAACGGCUCCUAUACGUGGCAGAGGUGGCUGCUGUGUGUCCCAAGGCUUCUGCAGGUCUCCGUAGCUUGGAUUCUGUGUUGGCUUCUCUGUGUUCCAGUAAACUGCAGUGCUGCUUUUUUUCCUCCUUGCAGUUUUCAGGGUAUGUUUAGCUUACAACUUGUUGAACAGAAGACCCAGCAAGUGUGAAACUAGAGGUGAUGAAGACAGCACUGAAGGGGAUAUAUGGAGGAACAAUGUGGACAAUAAGGCAUGAACUACAGUGCAAACAGCAAUUUCAGAGAUUGGUCUGAGAAUCUGAAGAGUUCUUGGGGCAAGUACAGAUGGAUUUCAAGCUUCCCUUGUGCAACAGAGGAGCAGGACGAAGAGUGGGAAUGUCCCCUAGCCAGCUGAAGAUCCUUCUAGUGUACUACAGCCCUGUGUUAAACGAAGGUAAAGCUCCUCGUGAAGAGGUUGUUUGAGGAAACCCUUACACUCUGAAUGCAGCUCUGGGUGAUGAGGUAGCACAACACAGAAGGUACCACCAAAGGAGCGACUGAGUGAGGGGCAUUUGAUCUGUAUCCAUGCAAACCCAUCAGAGAAGGCCCUCUGAGGCAGUGGGCACUAGCCCGAAGCCUGCAGCCACCAGGUGCGUUGGGAUUCUCAGAAGUUCACAUUUCCUCCAUUACACUUGCUUGGGCUUCUUUGUAGGCCAGUUGAAGAUAAGAGCCAGAUUACUGCUACCCAGCUGGCAUUCAUUUUAAUGUGAAUUGAAUUAAUGUAUCCAAGAUCAGACACAAGUUUUAAAUGGAUUCCUUAUGGCUUUGCUUUCUAUUAAAAUUUUGAGUGAUUGCUCAAACCGGUCACAUUUACCAAUAAGAGGGUGUUUUUCUCUGGAAAAUGGUUUCAUCCUGCGUGGAAGGUAGUCAUUUUCAAACCACUCUUUAUAUUAUCUGAUUAGGAAGCUAGAAAUGAACAAACACAUAGCUUUGGAACAAACCAAAUUAUUUUCUAGCACUAACAUAAAGUUUGGAAUUAAAAAAAAAAAUACAGUUAAAAGGUAGGAGUUUCCCCUCUAUUCCUUUUUUCUUUAUUUUUAAACUUUCUAUUACUCUCUUUUCUACUGAACAAGGUGUGUGCUUGUUGAGAGAGGUAGGGAGCAGGUAAGAUUAAGGGGAGAAAGUGUGAGAAAUCCUACCUUUCAUAGCUAAUGCUUUCCAUCUUGG